rnacentral:lncRNA from 1 species
UAGGAACAAGAGAGCCUAUAUGGACGUACAGUGAGACAGGAACGAGUCUUGUCCGAUGCAAGGUGGACAUAACGCGGACUAUGAACGACAGAGCGGUUUUAUUCAGAAGAAUGUACUCAUAUGCGGGACAAAAGUAUUCUUCCGAUCAGUGGGGAGUGUUCGAUAAACUUUACAAGGAGAGGAUGUCCAUAAGGCCUGCAGGCCCUACAUUUUACCAAAUGGAACAGGUCAUAUUUAUGUCUCAGGACUACAGUUGCGCAGUGAUUAUGACAACGUUGAUUGGUACACAUGUCUACAUAGCGCCCACCCGCUGGUACGAGCUUCGAGUGAGGAAUUCUGCCAUUGCCAGGGGGCCUCACGAGGAGUGUUUGCAAGAAUUCAAGUCUGUGACGUAUCCGAGACGC